UACGUAGGGUGCAAGCGUUGUCCGGAAUUAUUGGGCGUAAAGAGCUCGUAGGCGGUUUGUCGCGUCUGCUGUGAAAACUCGGGGCUUAACUCCGGGCUUGCAGUGGGUACGGGCAGACUAGAGUGCGGUAGGGGAGACUGGAAUUCCUGGUGUAGCGGUGAAAUGCGCAGAUAUCAGGAGGAACACCGGUGGCGAAGGCGGGUCUCUGGGCCGAUACUGACGCUGAGGAGCGAAAGCGUGGGGAGCGAACAGG
rnacentral:rRNA from 1 species